rnacentral:rRNA from 1 species
AGCGAACGCUGGCGGCAGGCUUAACACAUGCAAGUCGAACGCCCCGCAAGGGGAGUGGCAGACGGGUGAGUAACACGUGGGAACGUACCCUUUGGUUCGGAAUAACUUGGGGAAACUCAAGCUAAUACCGGAUAAGCCCUUAUGGGGAAAGGUUUACUGCCGAAGGAUCGGCCCGCGUCUGAUUAGCUAGUUGGUGGGGUAAUGGCUCACCAAGGCGACGAUCAGUAGCUGGUCUGAGAGGAUGAUCAGCCACACUGGGACUGAGACACGGCCCAGACUCCUACGGGAGGCAGCAGUGGGGAAUAUUGGACAAUGGGGGCAACCCUGAUCCAGCCAUGCCGCGUGAGUGAUGAAGGCCUUAGGGUUGUAAAGCUCUUUUACCCGGGACGAUAAUGACUGUACCGGGAGAAUAAGCCCCGGCUAACUUCGUGCCAGCCGCCGCCGUAA